GUCGGAGUGGCGGAACCGGCAGACGCGCACGUUUGAGGGGCGUGUGGUUAGUACCAUGAGGGUUCAAGUCCCUCCUCCGACACCA
rnacentral:tRNA from 1 species